GAGAGGAUUUAUUGUAGCCUCCAGCUCCUGAUAUUCGGGAAGCAACUCAGAACACAACUAGAAGCAAGAGCUUAGAAACCACGCCGACUACCAUAGAUGGCUUCGAAAAAUCCUUCUUACAGGAUAAUUUUGGGUUCUUCUUCAAAAGCUCGCAAACAGAUUCUUGCUGAAAUGGGAUACGAAUUCACAAUAAUGACUGCAGAUAUUGAUGAGAAAAGUAUUAGGAGGGAAAAGCCUGAAGAUUUGGUUGUAACAUUAGCUGAGGCUAAGGCUGAUGCUAUUGUGCAAAGGCUCCUUAAUGAUGGUCAAUUGGAGGCAGAUGCUUCUACAACAUUGUUAAUCACUGCAGACACUGUUGUGGUAUAUCGAGGAAUAAUCAGGGAAAAACCAACUAGUGAGAAAGAAGCACGGGAAUUUGUCAAAGGAUAUUCUGGUAGUCAUGCAGCUGUGGUAGGAUCUGUUGUGGUGACUAACCUUGUGACCGGAAAACGUUAUGGGGGAUGGGAGGGUGCAGAGGUUUAUUUCCUUGAAAUACCAGACGAGGAAAUUCUUGUCAAACCAAAUACUAUAUGAGUUUUCUUAUUUGAUGGGAGAAUCUCAGAUUGAUGACGGGGUUACGUUCAAUGUUGCUGGGGGUUUGAUGCUGGAACAUCCAUUGACGUUACCCUUUGUGGAUGCAGUGGUUGGAUCAGCUGAUACAGUGAUGGGACUUUCCAAAGCUCUUACAGAGAAACUCAUAAUGGAAGCUCUAUAGCUGCUGCAGUUGUAAAACUAUAUUCUGAUUGAUACCAUGUGCUGGCUGACUGCGAUAUUACCUCAAUGAUAUUCAAAUGUUUUUAUUUGCACCGAUUUUGUAAUACAAAAUACAAACAAGAAUCCUUGAUACCUUGCUGAAUUUUGUUUUAUCAUGAGCCGACAAAAGCUUGUACUUUA